CCUACGGGUGGCAGCAGUGAGGAAUAUUGGUCAAUGGGCGCGAGUCUGAACCAGCCAAGCAGCGUGAAGGAUGACUGCCCUAUGGGUUGUAAACUUCUUUUAUAAGGGAAUAAAGUGAGGCACGUGUGCCUUUUUGUAUGUAUCUUAUGAAUAAGGAUCGGCUAACUCCGGGCCAGCAGCCGCGGUAAUACGGAGGAUCCGAGCGUUAUCCGGAUUUAUUGGGUUUAAAGGGUGCGUAGGUGGUCUGUUAAGUCAGUUGUGAAAGUCUGCGGCUCAACUGUAGAAUUGCAAUUGAUACUGGCAGUCUUGAGUGCAGUUGAGGUAGGCGGAAUUCGUGGUGUAGCGGUGAAAUGCUUAGAUAUCACGAAGAACUCCGAUUGCGAAGGCAGCUUACUAAGCUGCCACUGACAUUGAGGCUCGAAAGUGUGGGUAUCAAACAGGAUUAGAUACCCCAGUAGUC
rnacentral:rRNA from 1 species